CUUCCAGACUCCUACGGGAGGCAGCAGUGAGGAAUAUUGGUCAAUGGCCGCGAGCCUGAACCAGCCAAGUCGCGUGAGGGAAGACGGUCCUAUGGAUUGUAAACCUCUUUUGUCGGGGAGCAAAAGACGCCACGCGUGGCGUUCCGCGAGUACCCGAAGAAAAAGCAUCGGCUAACUCCGUGCCAGCAGCCGCGGUAAUACGGAGGAUGCGAGCGUUAUCCGGAUUUACUGGGUGUAAAGGGUGCGUAGGCGGUCGUGCAAGUCAGACGUGAAAACCACAGGCUCAACCUGUGGACUGCGUUUGAAACUGUGGGGCUUGAGUGAAGUAGAGGUAGGCGGAAUUCCCGGUGUAGCGGUGAAAUGCGUAGAGAUCGGGAGGAACACCAGUGGCGAAGGCGGCCUACUGGGCUUUAACUGACGCUGAGGCACGAAAGCAUGGGUAGCAAACAGGAUUAGAUACCCUAGUAU
rnacentral:rRNA from 1 species